GUUGAAGGUUGGGUAACACUAACUGGAGGACCGAACCGACUAAUGUUGAAAAAUUAGCGGAUGACCUGUGGCUGGGGGUGAAAGGCCAAUCAAACCGGGAGAUAGCUGGUUCUCCCCGAAAGCUAUUUAGGUAGCGCCUCGUGAAUUCAUCUCCGGGGGUAGAGCACUGUUUCGGCUAGGGGGCCAUCCCGGCUUACCAACCCGAUGCAAACUGCGAAUACCGGAGAAUGUUAUCACGGGAGACACACGGCGGGUGCUAACGUCCGUCGUGAAGAGGGAAACAACCCAGACCGCCAGCUAAGGUCCCAAAGUCAUGGUUAAGUGGGAAACGAUGUGGGAAGGCCCAGACAGCCAGGAUGUUGGCUUAGAAGCAGCCAUCAUUUAAAGAAAGCGUAAUAGCUCACUGGUCGAGUCGGCCUGCGCGGAAGAUGUAACGGGGCUAAACCAUGCACCGAAGCUGCGGCAGCGAACGUAUCACCCAAGACAACUUUACGGAGUUGACGAUUGACGGAGCGAAGCGACGUCAAAGCGUUCAUUAAAGUCGAGUUGGCUUAGGGAUACGUUCGUUGGGUAGGGGAGCGUUCUGUAAGCCUGUGAAGGUGUGUCGUGAGGCAUGCUGGAGGUAUCAGAAGUGCGAAUGCUGACAUAAGUAACGAUAAAGCGGGUGAAAAGCCCGCUCGCCGGAAGACCAAGGGUUCCUGUCCAACGUUAAUCGGGGCAGGGUGAGUCGACCCCUAAGGCGAGGCCGAAAGGCGUAGUCGAUGGGAAACGGGUUAAUAUUCCCGUACUUGGUGUUACUGCGAAGGGGGGACGGAGAAGGCUAUGUUGGCCGGGCGACGGUUGUCCCGGUUUAAGCGUGUAGGUGUGUGUUCCAGGUAAAUCCGGUU
rnacentral:rRNA from 1 species